rnacentral:rRNA from 1 species
UGGGGAAUAUUGGACAAUGGGCGCAAGCCUGAUCCAGCCAUGCCGCGUGAGUGAUGAAGGCCCUAGGGUUGUAAAGCUCUUUCACCGGUGAAGAUAAUGACGGUAACCGGAGAAGAAGCCCCGGCUAACUUCGUGCCAGCAGCCGCGGUAAUACGAAGGGGGCUAGCGUUGUUCGGAUUUACUGGGCGUAAAGCGCACGUAGGCGGACUUUUAAGUCAGGGGUGAAAUCCCGGGGCUCAACCCCGGAACUGCCUUUGAUACUGAAAGUCUUGAGUAUGGUAGAGGUGAGUGGAAUUCCGAGUGUAGAGGUGAAAUUCGUAGAUAUUCGGAGGAACACCAGUGGCGAAGGCGGCUCACUGGACCAUUACUGACGCUGAGGUGCGAAAGCGUGGGGAGCAAACAGG